rnacentral:rRNA from 1 species
GAUCUUCUUGAUUGCCUAACCUUGCAGGAGGACGAACUUGAUGAUUUGGUUUGGGAAGAUGAGAUCGAUACAGAGGAGGUCAAGCCAAAGUGGCUAGCGCUUGGGCAUCUACUGUCAACCAAAACGUUUAGUCAGAGCGCCCUCAUUGGUGACAUGUGGGCGACAUGGAAUCCGGCACAGAACGUAGUUUGGAGGAGGAUAAACCCUAACCUCUUCUCCAUCCAAUUCAACUGUUUGGGUGAUUGGAACAAGGCCAUGCACCAAGGUCUCUGGGAUUUCAAAGGUUAUGCAUUAAUUCUUGCUGAGUAUGAUGGUUUCUCCAAGCCUGAAAAAGGUAAAGCUUGA